GAGAGAUUGAUCCGUCUUAUUCCAGUUGCCUCAGGUGCAGAGCCCGAAGAGAAGAGUCUACAUUUAAUCGGGGGUGUCUUCAGCUAAACAAAACAGUCGUAUGCAAAUCCUUUUCCUAAGGGACAGCCAUGUGGACUCGUGACCUUUCUUUGAAUGGUUUGGAGCCCAGAAAUCAAUGAUUACACUAAAUCCAUAAUUAUAUUCUUUUCAUCUGUGGCAGGGCACUGAUAGCAUGACAGAUGUGAGACCUUGAAAGCAUGGGAACUUCAAAGACCAUUGAGGUGCGUUAGACACCAUGGACAUGUGGAGCAGGAAAAAAUAAAAUUAAAAAUAGCAAGAGGCUGCUCUACCAAUCCUUUGGGUGAUCUCUCUCCUGCACACGUGUGUACACACACAUGUACACAUUUACACAUGUGACUCAGGUCCCCAGAGAAGAGGACAACCUCAAAGAAUUAAAAAAUUUCAUCGUUGUUUCAUUUUACCUCAAGAGGCUUCCCAGAGAAAGAAGGGGAUGAGCUGGAGGAGCCAUGGCUGGAGACACAGCCUGGAAUCAAGAGAGAGAGACAAAACCUAAUCAUUAAUGCUGCAAAGCAACAGCAAAAGACACUCUGUUUUGAAGGAUCGAAUUGCUUCAGUGGCAAAGACAUGCCCCCCCCAAAAGUCAGCCUGUUUGGGGAAAACACCACAUGCUGAUUAGAGCUGCUCCAGCGACUGCCUGCUUUAUAUUCCACAAAGAUUUUUUUCAAUAAAGUAAUAACAACUUAGAUUCUUUUUUUUUUGGGGGGGAACCCAUAUUUAAACAUCACGGAUAGGAGCCUUCUAAUUUAUAAGCCAAGAUAUACAAAUCCUCUCUCUCAAAUUUCCUUUGUUGUUUUGUCCUCGCCGAGCACUCCCUUGCCUAUGAAUCACAGAAAGAUUUGAAGAACCUUUCAGUCAAAGCUCAGUUUUGUGCCAGUGGGCACUGGCCAGGAAAAAAAAAAAGAUUGAUAUUUGCCCUCUCUUCUUAUCUGCACUUGAUUUAUAAGUCAGUGCGAGUAUGCAAGAGAAAUAAAGGCAAAGACCUUGAUGCCUCCCUGUGGAGAAUAUGCACCAUUUGGAUUGAAGGCAUGAAAGAGGAGAAAUUAAUGGGCUGAGCAUUCGUGUCAUCUUGUGCUGUUUUUGAAGUAUUUUGGUCUGCUCGAGUCCUCGCAAUGCUCCUGUGACACCGAUGAACCUCUGUGUGCCACCAAAGAUCCUCACAUCAGAAGGCAAGGGCAGGCCGAGCUAAACAGCUGGCUGGAUUUGCAUGAAAAUGGACUGCCCUUUUUCAUUUGUUUGUUCUUGGGAAAUUACAGUAGGAAAUCCACAUAGGGAAUUGCUCCUGCUUUGCUCAUCUCCCAGCAGAGAUAUAAGGCUGGAUUUCCUCACUGGACAUAUCUCUGAUCUACAAUUUGAGUCUCUGAAGUGCUUGGAUUUGUUUGAAUGAACUCUUCCUGCUUUUGCUGUUUUAAUCAAACUGGGCUGGCAUGGCUAAAAAUCAGCGACAGUGGGAGAAGGAGCCAGUGCAUCAAGGGCCAGCUCUUGUUAUCAAGUUGUGAUUUUUCUUUGGACCUGUUCAGCUUUGCAAACUGUUGGUGGAUUCUGUUAUGGUUCCAGUGUGAUAAGGAAGAUUUUUUUGUGUUUUAAGAGUUACACCUUCACCUGAUACCAAACUGCUGCUGGACCUAUGUGAAUUUACACUUGGGGAGGGUCAAGUGCGAUAUGUGGGUCUACAUUUUGCCGAAAACGUUAUUCAGAUUCUAUUUGAAAAACCUAUUUUUACAUCGAAUCUGUAAUGUAGCUUCUUGCAUAAAUCCAUGGCUAUAAUUAGCAGUGUAGUACCACUGCCAUACUGAGGAAAUCUGGUGUAAUUUGGGGAAUCAGCUCUUUCUUCGGUACAAAACAAGCUAAAACUCCUUGUCCUGCCACCAAAACACCUGUGGCAAAGUCUGUGUAUACACAGCAGAGCCUGAUUUUGCUGCAGGAGGCCAAUGAAACUUGGCUCAAGUCCCCAUUCCUAUAGGACAACCCGAAGUCAAAGAUCUUGUCCUUUUUUUGAUGCCUUCUUGGUGCAACUAUUGGUCUCCUGUGGCUCUGUUGACCUCAGGGGUAGUGCCAGGACUCCUCUGAGCCUGACACCUUCAGAUUAUCCAUCUUUUCCCCAAACAACCAGAAUCCAGUUAUUGGUUGGGCUGAUGAUGACUUCAGCAUCACCCACCAUGCAGGGGAGAAAGGGAAUAUCUGAAGUGUAGAUUAAUUUGGAUUAGUCUUGAACAAAAGCGACGACCAUUAGAGUUUGUUAUGGCACGGUCAUUUCCAACUUCCACCUGAAUUAUGGGUGCACAAAGGCGCAUUUUCCCCCAAAUAGUGGGAAAACAAGGAUCUCCAUAACCCUGGGCCUCUCAGCAGUUGGAUUAAUUUGUUUGUGAGACAAUGUUUUGUUUUUGAAGCCUUUCACGAUGCUGAAAGGACGCCGAGAAAGUCUUCGCAUGAUUCUUGAGUUUCAAUCGAGAAAAAACAAAUGUGGCUCUUUUCUGUCAAUAUUUUCUCUCCGUGUAUUUUGUGUUAAACUCCUGUACAGAGGGACUGUGUGUUAUUGAUAAUGUGGGACUGGACUUGGUGGAUUUUAAUGUCUUUUUUCAUGUUUAUAUGGAACAUUUUUGAAGCAGCAAUUAAAAUAAUUAAGGAGGGUGAAGAAAUCUUUAGCAUGCAACAAAGAUUUCUGCAAAAUGUUAAUUUCUGUCAAAUAAGUGAAUAUAUGCACAGAUGCCUCCUGACAGAGGCUGUGAUUUCUGAGUGCUUUGCAUGCCAAAUAACUUGUUUACCCCCUCAAUGUUUGCCAAGUUUACUGUCAAUUUACAAAUAAUUUCCAUUUUGCUGUUUAUUCUGCUGCCUUUUGAUGGAUAUGUCUUCCAGACUUUUAUCUUGCAUGUAGACAAACUAAUUAAUAUUUUCCC